UUGGAGUGAUCCAAUAUAGUGAAACAUAAUGAAGGUUACCUAUGUAACCACGGUUAUGUGAACUAUAUGGAUCACUCCAAUCCUCUACGGUGCUAGAGGCUCCUUAAAAAUUAUGUUGAGAACAUGUCGCGGCCAUGGCGUCUAUAUAUAGGGGAGAACCCCAUCUGUGUCACUGGUGUACACGGAAGUAAAUCUGUAAAUCUUCACCUCGGAAGUAUCCCUCCGCUGCAGAGUGAUAUCAAUAUAUUGGAGUGAUCCAUAUAGCUCACAUAACCGUGGUUACAUACGUAAUCUUCGGUGUAUAUGCUCCUAAAAAAACAAUGAGGAGAUGGGAGAGGCCGGACUUGCAGCGCGUUGAGCGUCACAAAUAGAACAAAUUUAUAUUUUAGCGCAUGCCCACGAAGAUACUCGCUGAUGCCGGUGAGCAAUGUGGGUGCAAUAAGUGAAUAACAUGUAUGUCUACAUUUAUUUUGCAACGCUCGUACAUGAGCGGUGUGGUCAGCAUGUUAUGCUUCACGGAGCAGAGCUGUUGUCAAGGAAGUGAGUUUGUGUUUAUACAGGACCUCCCGCCCGCCUCCACCUACCAUCAAUCAAUCAUGUCAAUGCGGAGCUAUACUGAGCCCACAGCAUUGUUUAAGCAGUUUUGGGAGGCGGUGGGCACACAGGACAUUGGUACAGAGCUCAAUUUGGCCUCUGCGUGCCUCUGGAGGCUCUGCAAUUGCGUCACACCCUCCUUACGGAGUCUCCGACCACAUUUUCAUUUUCGGAUCAAGCAUAAAUUGGCUCUUACGUUUACGCACAGGUUUUCUGAGCACGCUAGAUAGCUAAUUAGCAUAUGUGGUCGCUGCUUGUCUGUUUACUGUAAACAAGCGCUGUAACAUGGAGAUAUGAUCGUGUGGGAAAACUAACACUAUCAAGGUGUGUAUCAAUUUAACCUUUUUGUUUUUUCAAAAUAAUUUCUCACUGAUAUGAAAGAUUCUUAUGCUUCCAAAACCAAACCACAAGUGACGCGUGUUAAUGGUAAGAUUAACGCUUCGAACACACCGACUGUGUUAGGGCAUCACUGCUGCAUAACAUUUUGUGCACCUAGGCAACUAUACUGAUGCAGGUACUUUUUGCAAAUGGUCGCAUGCAGUUGGACACAUGGAGGAGAGAAUCAUUUUCGCAGUAUCCUCAAAACCGUGUCUUUUUGACACAACUGCUGACAGCUACAGGGACAUAAACACAAAAAAUUCUGCUUGGAGACAAGUAUCCACGAUAGUAGGAUUGCCAGGUCAGUUUAGUAGUGAGCUUGUGCUAGAUGUGGCUAGUUAGCGUUAGCUAGCUAGCUAACCUAGCCAAUGAGGUGUGUGUGAAAGAAAUAGUCAAAUAAAUUAUGCAAGUUACUACCCUUGAUAACCUUCCCAAAUAAUCAUGUUUGAAAGAGUGAGUGUAUUUAUAGAUUAAUAGAAAUGGUAGAUACUACUGUACCCUGAUAAUUUGGUCAGAUAACCGUGUGUGUCUAUGUGUACAGUAGGUGACAAGUCCAUGAUAGCUAUCUAAUAACUAUAGUUAUGCUAGGUAAUGGUUUGGCUUAUCAUGUUCAUGUCUAUGUAGAAGAAGACUGUAGGAGGAAGUGGAGAGGACUCAGGGACAGGUAUCAGAGAGCGAGAAGGGUAGAGAAAGAUGGGUCAGCAGCUUCAGGCCAGCAGCCUUGGGGCUUCUGCCACAUUCUUUUCUGGAUCCAUUUAUUGUGCCUCGGGCAACGAGUGGCAAUUUUACAGCCAGACCCUUUACUACGUCAUCCACAAGUGUUGUCGCCACCGGUGCAUCAAGACCCUCAACGUCACCUACAAAUGCGACCAUCACCUCCACCGGUGGAGUGAGACCCUCUACAACAUCAUCCAUGAGUAUGACCACCACCGGUGCAGCCAUAGAAGAUGAUGAAAUGGAGGAAGCACCUCUGGAUCUAGGACCACCUGAGAUUAUUAUGAACCUCACGGAAGUGACCACUGAGGACCUCAUUGAACAGGAUGUGGCUGUGGAGAGAAACAGAGAAACGAAGAGGAACAACAUCACACCAGGCGUCAUCGGAGGUACCAGCCCCCAGAUCCACUCAACUAAUUUCAGCAGAGGCUCCUCCAAGCCGUCGAGCAGGAUGCUGCCCAACCUGAUGAUCACAGGAAGGAGACCCUAUUUGCCAUGAGCCUGGUGCAAACACUGAAGAGGCUGCCUCCGCAAAGAAAAGCAGCAGUCAAGGUUAAAAUGUAUCAGCUGCUUUUCGAAGCCGAGUUCAAUGAGAUGGAGUCAAUUUAACAGACAAGCUCACAGGAAGGACAGGAAGAGGAGAGGAGUUGUCUGGUUGUUGUUUUGACCUCCAUCAUUGUACCUUUCUUUUCACACACGUCAGUUCUGUUUAAAUUCAGUCAAUUCAUAGUCAUUUGUUUAUAAAGUCUUAGGAUAGCAUUCAUUAUUAGUGUUACAUAGAUUUCUGAAUUGAAACUCAUACAGAGUUUUCACAGAUGCUCUUGGUCUCUUACAAGACUAAAGGUCAAUAUUUCUUUCAUUUAAAACCACUUGAAAACCAGGGUUUUGAAACUUCACAAAAAGUUAUGUUCCAUCGACUGGUCCGUGACAUCCAGGGGCCAUUUGUUUGUUUAGCUGUAUUAUGGCUACAUAUUAUUCCCUUUUUUUCAGAGACAGAGACACACCUCUUCGUACCUCAGAUCUCCAGUAUCCUGCCCUCUCUCUCUUUAUGGCCAUGUCUGAAGUUCCCCUACUACGUCUAGGCUUUAUGAGUAGUCCCUGUAUCAGUCUGCAGUUGUGCCAAAAAUACAUGCUGUUCUCUUACAGAUUACAGGUUACACAUUCAUUUAAAAACAUAUUUUUUACACACACACACACACACACUUCUUUCAAUAGUUGUAUUUUUUAAAACAUUUUUACAAUACACAUAACUGUCAUGUUCUUUCCUGUACUUGAAUACUUAUUAAAUUAUGUUUUCAUAGUCA